rnacentral:rRNA from 1 species
CCUACGGGAGGCUGCAGUGGGGAAUAUUGGGCAAUGGGCGCAAGCCUGACCCAGCAACGCCGCGUGAAGGAAGAAUGCUUUCGGGUUGUAAACUUCUUUUCUUAGGGACGUAGAAAGUUACGGUACCUGAGUUAUGAGCCACGGCUAACUACGUGCCAGAAGCCGCGUUAAUACGUAGGUGGCAAGCGUUAUGCGGAUUUACGGGGUUUAAAGGGCGUGUAGGCGGGCAAGUAAGUCAGAUGUGAAAACCAUGGGCUCAACCGGUAGUCUGCAUUUGAAAAUGGUUUUCUUGAGUACUGUAGAGGCAGACGGAAUUCCUAGUGUAGCGGUGAAAUGCGUAGAUAUUAGGAGGAACACCGAUGGCGAAGGCAGCCUGCUGGACAGCAACUGACGCUGAGGCGCGAAAGCGUGGGGAGCAAACAGGAUUAGAUACCCCUGUAGUC